UACAAAAAAAACACUUCUAAACCUCUCAGCUACAAAACCUCCAACUCAAUAAUACAGAGACACUGAGAAUGGAAACGAAAGUGUUCAUCUGUGUUCUGUGUGCCUGUUUGGUAACACUCUUAGUGCAUAAGACAUCACCAGCCCUAAUAAAUGAAGGCAUAUUUCUAUUAUACAAACCGUCUCAGCAAGGUCCUGAAGGUCCUGUUAAUGGAAGUAAUUACGAGCAGAUGACUAACCAUACCUUAAAUACAAAUACAACCCAAGAAAGUAUUCUGGAAAAGACCAUUGCGCCGAACCUUGCAGAGGUACUGUUCAGUGCCUUCAU